rnacentral:ncRNA from 1 species
UAGCGCCUGGGCCAGAAUGGGCUGGCUGACGAGGAUGGCAGUUAUCGAAGAAUUCGGCGGGUGCUGCCACGGCUGCUGGGGUGGUCGUAAGAAGGGGAGCAAAAAGCGGAAGAGCCGUAACAGAG